GGAAUAAACAACAAAGAGGUUCCUUCAUAUAUCUCACUUCCUUCCUUCAAAGCUACUUCCCCUCUCAAGAUGGCAAAUUCUUCAGAUGUUCCAAUAAAAAAGGAUCCAAUUAGGACAAUUAAACCAAAGGAACUUAAUAUCGUAUGGGGAAAUGACACUCGCUAUUGGAAGAUGCAUACUCCUGACGGGCCGGAGAAGGAAGAAGCAGCAGAGCUAAUUCAGGUGUGUUGGCUUGAAGUAACAGCCUCAAUCAAUGAUCAAGAAAUAGUGAAAGGUAGGACCUAUGAGAUUAGGUUUCAUGUAGAGAUGAAAGAAGAAGCUUUUGGGUGGAAUGGGUGUCCUGUUUUUAUGAUGGCAAAGAUAGGGAAGAAUGGAAAAUACAAGUGGAAAAGGAUUAACUUAUCAAACAAUUACGAUAACAGCUUCAAGAAGAAAUAUCCUGAGAUUGCUAUGGAUAUUCAAGUUGUAGAUGAUCGUGACAAAACUCUGUAUUUUGGCUUGUAUGAAGUGUGGACUGGCAGAUGGAAGGGAGGUUUGGCAAUUAAUAAGGUUGAAGUUAGAGCCAUAUGGAAUAAUUCCUAUGUUCCUAUUUUAUAACUGUAAUGUAAUCCAAUAAUUUUGGUGGAUAUUGUAUUUCACCUAAAGGGGCCAAAUAUUAACAAUAAUAUAUUUGGAGGUGUCACAAUUUGCAAUAAUUUAAUGUUUCAAAGUAUUAUUUUUGUUAAUGAAUAUUUUUUUUUUUUAUUAAAA
rnacentral:misc_RNA from 1 species